UUGAAAUUCUUUGUUAUAAAUAUGUGCUGUUAAUGUUUCUAGUUUUAAAUGGUGGAUUUUACGUAUCAAAGGAUAAAUUCUAAUAUGUUGUCUUUAUAGGUUUAUUGAUGAAGAACUCUUUAAAUUUGGAAUGUUAACGGAACCAACCAUGCAUGAAUGUAUAAUGAGGUUGCUCUCGCAGGGAGAUGAAGAAUCACUUGAGUGUUUGAGUAACUUACUAAAAACGAUAGAAAGUUAUUUCACACAAAUGCAAAAUAUUAGACAAACAUUUAAACAAUUCUAAGGUCAAAUUUAAGUAGCAAGAAGUUACAGUUUUAAAAAGGGCUCAUAUACUAACUUCCAAGAUCACUUUUUGCCCACUUUUGCACAAAGAGGAGUACCUAGAAUGACUUUAGUAGCAUGUAUGGUCAAGUCAACUUGCAAGCAGUUUCCAGAAGGGUCAUUUGAAAUUGUUUGUAAAUUUGGUUUUGCAAAUAUAACUAUAAAAGUUUUAUUUUAAUGGCAAUAACUUAGCCAUUUUUAAAAGU